GAUGAACGCUGGCGGCGUGCCUAAUACAUGCAAGUCGAGCGAACAGACGAGGAGCUUGCUCCUCUGACGUUAGCGGCGGACGGGUGAGUAACACGUGGAUAACCUACCUAUAAGACUGGGAUAACUUCGGGAAACCGGAGCUAAUACCGGAUAACAUGUUGAACCGCAUGGUUCAACAGUGAAAGACGGUUUUGCUGUCACUUAUAGAUGGAUCCGCGUCGCAUUAGCUAGUUGGUAAGGUAACGGCUUACCAAGGCAACGAUGCGUAGCCGACCUGGGAGGGUGAUCGGCCACACUGGAACUGAGACACGGUCCAGACUCCUACGGGAGGCAGCAGUAGGGAAUCUUCCGCAAUGGGCGAAAGCCUGACGGAGCAACGCCGCGUGAGUGAAGAAGGUCUUCGGAUCGUAAAACUCUGUUAUUAGGGAAGAACAAAUGUGUAAGUAACUAUGCACGUCUUGACGGUACCUAAUCAGAAAGCCACGGCUAACUACGUG
rnacentral:rRNA from 1 species